rnacentral:rRNA from 1 species
UCUUGGUCAUUUAGAGGAAGUAAAAGUCGUAACAAGGUUUCCGUAGGUGAACCUGCGGAAGGAUCAUUAAAGAAAUUUAAUAAUUUUGAAAAUGGAUUUUUUUGUUUUGGCAAGAGCAUGAGAGCUUUUACUGGGCAAGAAGACAAGAGAUGGAGAGUCCAGCCGGGCCUGCGCUUAAGUGCGCGGUCGUGCUAGGCUUGUAAGUUUCUUUCUUGCUAUUCCAAACGGUGAGAGAUUUCUGUGCUUUUGUUAUAGGACAAUUAAAACCGUUUCAAUACAACACACUGUGGAGUUUUCAUAUCUUUGCAACUUUUUCUUUGGGCAUUCGAGCAAUCGGGGCCCAGAGGUAACAAACACAAACAAUUUUAUCUAUUCAUUAAAUUUUUGUCAAAAACAAGAAUUUUCGUAACUGGAAAUUUUAAAAUAUUAAAAACUUUCAACAACGGAUCUCUUGGUUCUCGCAUCGAUGAAGAACGCAGCGAAAUGCGAUACGUAAUGUGAAUUGCAGAAUUCCGUGAAUCAUCGAAUCUUUGAACGCACAUUGCGCCCCUUGGUAUUCCAGGGGGCAUGCCUGUUUGAGCGUCAUUUCCUUCUCAAACAUUCUGUUUGGUAGUGAGUGAUACUCUUUGGAGUUAACUUGAAAUUGCUGGCCUUUUCAUUGGAUGUUUUUUUUCCAAAGAGAGGUUUCUCUGCGUGCUUGAGGUAUAAUGCAAGUACGGUCGUUUUAGGUUUUACCAACUGCGGCUAAUCUUUUUUUAUACUGAGCGUAUUGGAACGUUAUCGAUAAGAAGAGAGCGUCUAGGCGAACAAUGUUCUUAAAGUUUGACCUCAACUCAGGUAAGAGUACNCGCUGAACUUAAGCAUAUCAAUAAGCGGAGGAA